AACGAACGCCGGCGGCAGGCCUAACACAUGCAAGUCGAGCGCACCCUUCGGGGUGAGCGGCGGACGGGUGAGUAACGCGUGGGAACGUGCCCUUCUCUGCGGAAUAGCCUCGGGAAACUGAGAGUAAUACCGCAUACGCCCUUUGGGGGAAAGAUUUAUCGGAGAAGGUUCCGCCCGCGUUGGAUUAGGUAGUUGGUGGGGUAAUGGCCCACCAAGCCGACGAUCCAUAGCUGGUUUGAGGGGAUGCUCAGCCCCACUGGGACUGUGCCACGGCCCAAACUGCGACGAGAGGGAGCAGUGGGGAAAUUAGAAAAGGGGGGACAGCCCGAGCCUGCCUCGCGGGGGUUAGUGACGAAGGCCUUAGGUUCGUAGAGCUCCUUGACUUGGGAAAUAAUGGCCGGGCCCGGGAAAAAAGCCCCCGGUAAACUGGUG
rnacentral:rRNA from 1 species